CAGCAGCCGCGGUAAUACGGAGGGGGCAAGCGUUAUCCGGAAUUAUUGGGCGUAAAGGGUACGUAGGUGGCCUUUUAAGCGUAAGGUAUAAGGCAAUGGCUCAACCAUUGUUCGCCCUAUGAACUGGAAGGCUUGAGUGCAGGAGAGGAAAGCGGAAUUCCUAGUCUAGCGGUGGAAUGCAUAGAUAUUAGGAGGAACAUCAGCGGCGAAGGCGGCUUUCUGGACUGCAACUGACACUGAGGUACGAAAGCGUGGGGAGCAAACAGGAUUAGAUACCCCGUAGUCCCUGUCUCUUAUACAC
rnacentral:rRNA from 1 species